CAGUCGCCACGGGAAUACGUAGGGUGCAAGCGUUAAUCGGAAUUACUGGGCGUAAAGCGUGCGCAGGCGGUUUGUUAAGUCAGAUGUGAAAUCCCCGAGCUUAACUUGGGAACUGCAUUUGAAACUGGCAAGCUAGAGUCUUGUAGAGGGGGGUAGAAUUCCAGGUGUAGCGGUGAAAUGCGUAGAGAUCUGGAGGAAUACCGGUGGCGAAGGCGGCCCCCUGGACAAAGACUGACGCUCAGGUGCGAAAGCGUGGGGAGCAAACAGGAUUAGAUACCCAGUAGUCCCUGUCUCUUAUACA
rnacentral:rRNA from 1 species